UUUUUUUUUUUUUUUUAAGAUGGACAUAAAGGCAUUAUGCUAAGUGAAAUAUGUCAGAGAAAGACAGAUACCCUGUGACUUCACUUACAUGUGGAAUCUGAAACAACAAAGGAGAGAAACUGACUCAGAGAAAACCAGUGGAUGCCAGGGAGGAAGGGGUAGGGGGAUGGGCAAAAUAGGUGAUUAAUUAGUACAAACUUCCCAUCAUAAAAUAUGGAAGUCACAGAGAUAAAAAGUACAGCAUAGGGAAUAUAGUCAAUAAUAUUGUAAUGAUUCUGUAUGACAGAUGGUAACUACAUGUAUGGUAAGCAUUUCACAAUGUAUGUGUCAAAUCACUAUGUUGUACAUCUGAAACUAAUAUAUUACACGUCAACUAUAUCUCAAUUAAAAUUUUUUAAAAUGUAUUUUAUUAUUUUUAAAAGAUUUUAUUUAUUUAUUCAUGAGAGACAUAGAGAGGCAGACACAGGCAGAGGGAGAAGCAGGCUCCAUGCAGGGAGCCUGAUGCAGAACUUGAUCCUGGGACUCUGGGAUCAUGCCCUGGGCUGAAGACAGGUGCCCAAUUGCUGAGCCACCCAGGUGACCCGAAGACAAAGAUUUUAACAAACCUGCACUUGAAAUGUGCAAGUCAUUACAAAACAAGACCCCAAUUUAAAACCACAAAAUAUGCUUUUCACUUUUUAAAAAAUAGAAACAUAUGCAAAAUACAAAGACAGCUAGAAAAAUCACAAAAAUAACUUAUAUAAUGUAAAAAAGUAGUAUAAUAUUUUCAACACUCAUACAAGCCAUAAAAUAUUAGGCAAAAAUUUAAAACAGGCAAUUAUUGUGAAAACUAUCCAGCAUAUGGAGAUACACACUAUACAAUAUAUUAAUUUGUGGAAAUUUCAUUUUUGAUGUCAAAAUUUACCUUUAGCCCAUUCAGAACUAAGGUGGACUGAAAUUUUUAAAUGUUUCAAAAACAUUCUAAUUGUAGAAAACGUAUAUAGUUAUAUAUUUAUCAUUUCUACUUUAUAUCAGCCACUUUCACUGAAUUCUUUAAAAAUAUAUUUGGAAACUUUCCAGUACACUCUAACAGAAUUCAUUAAAAUAGUAAGUAGUCCUCUGUUACAUACAUAUUAAGCUAUUUAAGUUUAAAACUCAUGUUGAAUUUUUAGUAAAGACUCUUAAUGAACCAAAAUAUAACUAUGUAGGUGAAAAAGAAUCUAUGGUGUGUGGAAUAACAUACCUUAAUAGUAUUGAAUGUUUUGCAUUAAGCAUCAUAAAUCGAAUUUGUUUAAAGAGGACCUGAAGAGGAUUAAUCUGGCAGUUAAGGCAAGUAGAGGUCCAUAAGAAGAGCUCUCCCAGUACAUAAGACAAUGAAUUGGAGCACCUGGGUGGCUCAGUCAGUUAACUAUAGAUUUGUCCUUCUCCCAAUCCCCCCCGCCCCCUGCUGGGGUGUUCUCUCAGAUAAAUUUAAAAAAAGAAAAUGAUUCAAAAUAUUUGUGAUAAUCCACCAAUUGAUGAGCAUGAUCUUGGUCUCAGUUAUAGAGUGAUUCAGAAGAGAAAAUAAGCUAGGUCAUACACACAUGGAUUGGACAAAACUCCACUGUAAAUAUAUUGAUUUGAGUGGUACUCUAUAGAAUGGACAAAACUAGGAUAUUAGGGACACCUGGGUGGCUCAGCAGUUGGGUUGCUGCCUUUGGCUCAGGUCGUGAUCCUGGGAUCCAGGAUCGAGUUCCACAUUGGGCUCCUGUGAAGAGCCCGCUUCUCUCUCUGCCUAUGUCUCUGCCUGUCUUUCAUGAAUAAAUCUUAAAAAACAAACACUAGGAUAUUAUUGUGAUACAAACACCAGUAAGAGUGAAGCAGAGUAAGAGAAAUGUGAAAAGGAAAGUUAUGGAAAUAUUUAUAUUAAAAACUUGAUAUAAAAACAGUGAAGCAGAGUAAGAGAAAUGUGAAAAGGAAAGUUAUGGAAAUAUUUAUAUUAAAAACUUGAUAUAAAAACAUCGUAUACAAGCUCAAAAUCCCAUGGAAUUCUUUAAGUGCUCAGUGUUUUAUUUUUAUUAAUGGCCCCAGGGGCCAGGGUAAACACCAUCACUUCUGUGUCAUAGCAGACUGAGGCUCAAGGGGCUCUAGAGAGUUGUCCAGAUAUUCCCAGUAAACCACACUGAGACCUACUGUGCAGACCCUCCUCCCCCUAGGGACUGACCUGGAUCAGGGGCUCUUGAGCAGCUCUAUUUCUUUCUGACACACCUGGUGGCAUAGCAGUCUGGUGGUAACAGGGAGAGCUACAGGUGCCUGGCUCUAGGAUGUUCCCCACAGGUACAGCUAUAUAGGAAUGAAUACCUCAGCUCUUCACAAUUCCCAAUGGAUCAGGGAUAGGGCCACUCCUAAUCCCACUGUACAUUGGGUUUUUGAAACAGGCCCUGGAUAGGGGCUUUUGCCUGCGGGUCCUUACAGUGGCCCGAAAUCCAGGAAUUAAACCUAGGGACCCUGGACAAAGACUUGGGAAAUCUGAUUAGUGACCUCUACAUCACCCCCUAGGCAGGCUUUGGGACUCAAAGGAAAACCCAGCCCAUACUGAUCCAAUCUUGUCCCCCAUCUGCUCCAACCCACCAACCCCAAUGGUGAUAAAAAAGGAAAAUAGGUAGCCACUAAAAAGCAAGGCUUUAAUGCAUUCCCCAAUGACUGGACUUAAUGUGAUGGAGAGGGGAGCCUGGGUAGCUCAGUCAGUUGAGCGUCUGCCGUCGGCUUAGGUCAUGAUCCUAGGGUCCUGGGAUUGAGCUCUGGGCUGGGGUCCCUGUUCAUCAAGGAAGCUGCUUCUCCCUCUCCCUCUCCCUCUGCCCUUUCCCCCACCGCUCGCUCACUCUCUCCCCAAAUAAAAUCUUUUUUAAAAGAAUGUGACAAAGAAUAUGUUAACAAUGCAGAAAAAAUUUGAAAGCGUACAGCUGUCCAUUCCAUUGUGAGUAGCGCAUGCACGCAGAAACACACUUGUUUCAUUGUUGUAUCUGUUAAAGGAAAAUAGCUAAAGCUCAAAGAAUAGGAAAAAGGUACAUGCAUUUUACCAAAGGUGUAGACAGUAAAUAAGCAUUGGAAAAAAUGAUUGUGAAUCCUUACAGAAAUGUAAUUAAAACAAAAUAACAUAACACUAAAAACUUAUUAAAAGGCCUAAAAUUAAAUAAUUAGCCAAACCAAAUGUUCAGAAUGUGGAUGAACUGGAACUCCUACACUGCUGGGAAAAGGCAAACGAUACAAUCAAAAAGUAAAACAUUUACCUACUCUAUGACCCAGACAUUAUACACUAAGUUACUGACAAAACAUCAAAGAAACAUACAUUCACAUAAAGAACACAGAUGUUUACACUAGCUUUACCUUCAAUAGUCAGAAUCU
rnacentral:lncRNA from 1 species